rnacentral:rRNA from 1 species
AACGAACGCUGGCGGCAUGCCUAACACAUGCAAGUCGAACGAGAUCUUCGGGUCUAGUGGCGCACGGGUGCGUAACGCGUGGGAAUCUGCCCUUUGGUUCGGAAUAGCAGUUGGAAACGACUGCUAAUACCGGAUGAUGACGAAAGUCCAAAGAUUUAUCGCCAGAGGAUGAGCCCGCGUAGGAUUAGCUAGUUGGUGUGGUAAAGGCGCACCAAGGCGACGAUCCUUAGCUGGUCUGAGAGGAUGAUCAGACACACUGGGACUGAGACACGGCCCAGACUCCGACGGGAGGCAGCAGUGGGGAAUAUUGGACAAUGGGCGAAAGCCUGAUCAAGCAAGGCCGCGUGAGUGAUGAAGGCCUUAGGGUUGUAAAGCUCUUUUACCCGGGAUGAUAAUGACAGUACCGGGAGAAUAAGCUCCGGCUAACUCCGUGCCAGCAGCCGCCGUAA